rfam:Triticum urartu cultivar G1812 contig124399, whole genome shotgun sequence.
GUUUCUAUAGCUCAACGGUAGAGCAUAGUACUGUUAAUACUAUGAUAGAUGUUCGAUUCAUCUUAGGGACU